CCUCCUUUCUAAGGAUAAAUGAUAAUUAGUUCGCUAGUUAUCCGGGUUGUUGCCUUCGUAUCUCUUCAUUUGGUAGCUAGUGCUAUGUGUUUUCUAAUGACUUGGGCUAGUAGCUCAGUUGGUUAGAGCGCGCGCUUGAUAAGCGUGAGGUCGGAGGUUCAAGUCCUCCCUGGCCCACCAUUUUUUUGGGGGAUUAGCUCAGCUGGGAGAGCGCCUGAUUUGCAUUCAGGAGGUCGUCGGUUCGAUCCCGAUAUCCUCCACCAUAAAUUUAUUAGCUAUUCGUCUUAUUUAGUUCUUUAAACUGUAAAUAUGAAACUAAUAUAACUGAUCAAAUUAAUUAUUAUAAAUUAUAUACGUACAUAAAAUUUUUCUCUGUACGUAAUUGCAGUCAAGCGCAAAAGGGCAUUUAGUGGAUGCCUUGGCAUCAAGAGACGAAGAAGGACGUGGCAGGCUGCGAAAAGCUAAGGGGAGUUGUCAACACGCUUUGAUCCUUAAAUUCCGAAUGU
rnacentral:misc_RNA from 1 species